ensembl:lincRNA linc-91 ncRNA
UGUGUGGGGUGGACCCCCUCUUGGUCGCUGCUGGGACAUUUGUGUCCCCUUCCCGGUAUGUUGUUGAUGAUGAUGAUGAUGAGGAUGGAGGACGCCGGACGGAUCGAGUCGAGGAGGAGAUGGAGGACGGCGGUGGUGGUGGUGGUUGACCAAGAUGAAAUUGAAGAUGAUGAUGAAGGUUUUGGUUUUUGGAGAUGAGUAGAAGGAGAAAAACGAGGAUAAGUGUUUUUUUUCACAUACAAUUCAUUCUUUUAUCGAAGAAACGAAGCGAACAAGUGAUUAACUGCGUCUCGAUUAACCAGACUGACCAUUCUAAAGAUGAAACCAUGGUUACUGUAAGCCCUACUGUCAAGUUUUUGUUCUGGAAAAUUUUUUUUUUCGAAAAUAAAUAUAGUUUUAAACAAAUUCAGUAACUGGAAUAUCUAAAUACAAUAGACUUUCAAAAUCAGGAAAACGGAAGAAAAAGAAACAGAAGAUUUCGUGCUGAGACCUAACAUUUGGGCAUUCACAAUAAUUGAUGUAUUUUCAUUUUAAAAAAUUCAUUUCCCCCUCAAACAUUUUUUUACAAAUUUGUUGAACCCAAAAACUCUUAAAAACUACUAAAUAUCUUUCAAAUUAUCGAGAAAACUUUCGAUCAAUCUUGAAGCAAAAACAGAUAAAACCAACAUAAACUGCAGACCUGAUAAUGAGAAAACCCAAUUGGCCAGCCACAUGACAUCAAACAACAGAUGAAUUCUACGUCACAAACUUUCAUAUUCAUCAGUAGACGAAAAAUGAAUCAGUUCAUUUAGCUCUAGAUAUUUAUUUGAUCAGCGGACUCGACUCGCUAGCUAAAAUGAAACAUCGCAGUAGUACAGAUUUUCAGAAUUUUUUUUUCCGAAUUCUACGGAAGUAAUGGAAAACAUAGGAACUUCCUAAUCACACAAGAUGAUACAACGCCAAAGUUGGCAUUUUGCCAAGUUGGCCAGUAGAGACUCUGUGCGAGAGAAAAAGAGAGAACGUUGGCAAUUUGCCAAGCUGUUCAAAUGGACGGAAAGGACGCGCCGACGACAUUGGCCCCCAGAAAAUGGUGAAGCCGUCGAGACAGGGACCGAUUUAUUUACUCUUACGAAGUACCGCAUAUUUUAAUCAGGAAAUUCCAGUCAAAAGAAAAGUAGCGGAAAAUUUGAAAUUUUAAGGGCGGAAGAUAUUGUCUAGAACCUGGUUUUAGGCUCUCCAAUUACGGUUUGAUCUACAGAAAAAUCGGAAUUUUUAAUUCAGAAAAAUGUGAUGUCAUCUAAAUUCCCACAAUUCUGGUAGAUCAAACCGAAAGGGAGAACUCUGACACUACUGGUCAAGUACAUUUCAGUUCGGCAUAUGGAAUUCUCCAUAUACAGAUCCCCUGAACAUGAGUUUGAUAAAUAAUAAUGAUAUCAGAAAAAAAGUCGUUAUCCAAAUCCGAAAAUCCCACAAAAUACCAAUAGGAAAAAUAUGAUUUAAAAAAGAAAAAAGGAAGAAGCAUGUGCAACUUGGUUUUUGCUGUGUUGUCUAUCGGUGAGUGUUAUUGGCCAACAACCCUUUCCCCUCUCUACACCACAAAAACGCGCACAAUCUCUUUCUGUCCGUCUCUCUACUCUCCAAUAGUCUAUCAUCUGCUCUUCUCAAUUUCACCUGUUCUCUGAUCAUGUUCUGACCACUACUCUGCGUCGUCGUCUCUUCCACCUCCUCCUUCCUUCCAUUUCUACUAACCAAUACUACUAUUACGAGAGAGAGAGAGAGAGGGAGAGAGAGAGCGUGCUGCUGCUGCUGAUGCUUGCCUUGCGCAGACCUCUUUUUCUGUGUGAGCGGUGGAGUGUGCGCAAAGAAGGAACUCAUAAAACACUCACACGUUGUUCCCCCCGUUUGGUCCUCCCAAUUCAACCACCCAGAGGUGCGCCCCCAGACGUUUUGGUUAUGAGCGGCCAAAGGUGUGUAUGUGUGUGUGUUUGAGAGUGAGCGCAGUGUGAGCGUCGUCUGUGUGUGUUCUGUUUAAAUGAGAAAAAGAGCGGUUUUUGCUUUUCACCGCCGAUUGGUACCCCCCUAAAUGAAUGAUAGUGACAUAGUGAGAAAGAGAGAGAGCAUCAUCACUGAUAAGAAAUGAUAAGACAAUUCCACUUUCUGACCAUUAGUUCAUCGUUAUUGUCUAAGUGUAAAGUUUCGAUUGAAUUUUGACAAUUUAUGGUCUAAAUAAGAAAUAGUAUUUUCUUUCUUGAAGAGUAAAAAUAUUACGCAACCGUAAAGUGUAGAAAGUUGAAGAGACCCAGACAUAUUGAAACCCAGGGGGCGUGGCGCGGGAAGAGCAGAAGUUGUGUAGAUUUACGGAGCGUUAUUGACGUAGAUCUACAUAAGUUCGACUCUUCCCUCUGGGUCCCGAUAUGUCUGCGUCUCUUCAACUUUUUACGCUCUGCUGCUGAGUAAUAGUAAAGUCCUACCCACAUGCUAAAAAUUUUCAGAAGCUGCUGAAUAUUCUGGUGAACAUUUCAGAUUUAAAGAUUUUUUUUAAAACUAGAGCUAAAAAAAUUUUAGAGACGCGAAACCCAAUUAUAUCUAAGUGACUGAAUCUAGAAAUCUUCUCUGGAAAGAAAGAAAAUAUUAUAAAUCUAGAUCACAAAUUUACAGAUUUAUCUGUUGAUUUACAAACGUGCCUUUCAGAACUGAUCUUACUGAAAUUAAUUUUCUCAUUAAAAAAUUUUAGUUUAUAAUUUGAAAUUGUUAUGUUGCUCCCUUGACACUUAUCAACUGAUUUUUCCAAAAAAACUAUAUAUUAAAAAAAUUAAAAUCCUUCAGGCAUGUCAUCAAAUCUCCUUUCGUAAAUAACAAGGCUUCAUUUCAUUCUUCCUCCUGAUACUAUGGCUUUCGAAAUGAAAAUGCAAAACUGCCAGGUGCUCAUAGCUCAUUAAACGGAUACACAGAAUCACGAGCAAAUUGGCUAGGAUUAAAAAUGGCAAAAGUCGAAACAUCGUGCCCGGAUUAGUGCAUUCUGGAGGGGGAAAACAAAGUAUUUAAUUCACCUUUUCGAAAUCAAAAGUGUGAUGGUGAAUGAUCGGAUUAGAGAGCUCCAACGAAUCUCGUGAGGAAAUUAAUCUAUGCUAAGCAACUGGAAAUGUUAUAUCUACAAAAUGGCUAUUAAUGUUUUCAGAUGUUUUCAGCUUUCAGCCCACUCGUAUAGUUAGGCCUUAUUUUCAGAUAUUUUUCACCUAUUUGCAGCUGCUAUCAAGAAUAAAUCUCAGGGUUUUAGU